ACUUCCGGUCAGCGCAGCCCAGGCCGCAGGAGGGUACGGCCCUGGACCCCCUCUCUCCAGUGGGGGCUGGAGAUGGGAGCGCAACUGGGGCUCCGCCGAGGUCUCUGAGGGCACUUCACCCCCGCCCCCGACCCCAGGAACUGCGAAACCCCAAAUCUUCUUGCCCACCGCGGGGCGCAGGUCCUGCCCACCCGCUCUCCAGGGACGCGCGCAGAAAGGCAGUCCCGGCCGCCUCCCCGCGCCAGGGUCCGGGCAAGCGUCUGAAAGCUGUGCUUGGGCCGCAGCUCCAGCCAUCGCCCCUCACCCCCGGUUCUCCCGGGCCACGUUCAUUGCACAGUUUCGAUUUGUUUAGGCCGGGGUCUCCUCUUCUUUCCUCAACAUCUUUUUCUGUGGGCUCCCCGCCUCCGUAUUCCUCCUCAUCCUCUGCUCCAAGGUUUCCGUUUUUUGCACCGGAGGCCGCCCUUCUGCGACCAGCCUUCUCCGGCCGCUCGGACUCGGCCUCUGCAGCGGGGUGCACCCGGGCGUCCCUUCGGCUCCCGGCCCUCCCUCUCUCCUCGUCGCCCAGCCCUGCCUCCAACUUUGCGCCCCCGGCUGCCCCGCGCCGCGGCUCAACUGGACAUCCGAACGCUCCGACUGUCCGCUCCCCUCCCCUCCCCCGGCCGACACGUGGGGACCAGCGCUGACCUUGGGUGAGGCCACGCUGUCCCCCGCUGCUCUCCAGUCACCCCUGUAUCCCUUUGACUCUUGGGCUUCCGAGUAGGGGCUCCCGGAGUAUUACCAGGGAAAAGGGGAGCGCCCUUCCCCUGGUAAUGAGAGUAGCCACGCAAUGUCGGCUGCGCAAACUGGGCCUCAGAGCGGCCAGGCCAGGGUCAAACCAGGAAGAGGGGGAGGGGUGGACAGCAAGGCUGAAGAGACCUGACUUUAUUUGUGUUGCUUCAACUGGUCCUGAAUGGUUACACGAGGCGCGCGCUCUUGCACACACACCGCGGGCAGCCCAAACCCUCGCUGGCUCGGCCCGCCGGCUCCUCGCCCUGCCAGUCCUGAGCCGGCUCUGAGCCACUGGAGUCAGAGGGCCCGGGCGCCUGCCUUCUCGGUGCGGGCUGGGGAGGACCUGCUCGCGAAGGGCUGCCAACUGAA
rnacentral:lncRNA from 1 species